rnacentral:lncRNA from 1 species
CCGCUCCCAUAAAGAUGGUGCAAAAGGGGAAUGCUAAAGGAAAUUGGAAAGGUAAGAAGAAGAUAGGAUCUAAAUCUGGUGCCAAACCCAAUUCGAAAACCAAACAGGCUUUAAAACCUAAAGGUGGGGUGGCUAAAGAAGGUGAUUGUCACUUCUGUGGAAAACCUGGACACUGGAAAAGGAAUUGUCAUGCUUAUUUGGAAGAAG